rnacentral:rRNA from 1 species
AGAACGAACGCUGGCGGCAGGCCUCAAACAUGCAAGUCUAGGGGGUGCAGCAAUGCAUCACCGGCGGACGGGUGCGUAACACGUGGGAAUAUACCUUUUGGUUCGGAACAACUGAGGGAAACUUCAGCUAAUACCGAAUGUGUCCUUACGGAGAAAGAUUUAUCGCCAAAGGAUUAGCCCGCGUCCGAUUAGCUAGUUGGUGAGGUAAUGGCUCACCAAGGCUCCGAUCGGUAGCUGUUCUGAGAGGAAGAUCAGCCACACUGGGACUGAGACACGGCCCAGACUCCUACGGGAGGCAGCAGUUGGGAAUCUUGGACAAUGGGGGAAACCCUGAUCCAGCCAUGCCGCGUGAGUGAUGAAGGCCUUCGGGUUGUAAAACUCUUUCGACGGGACGAUAAUGACGGUACCCGUAGAAGAAGCUCCGGCUAACUUCGUGCCAGCAGCCGC